rnacentral:rRNA from 1 species
CGAGUCAUUGUAGCAAUACAAGGCAGACGGCUCAGUAACGCGUAGCCAUCUAACCUAUGGACGGGGAUAACCUCGGGAAACUGAGACCCUACCCGAUAGAUCAUCAUGCCUGGAAUGGCCGAUGGUUGAAAUGAUUUAUCGCCAUAGGAUGGGACUGCGAUCUAUCAGCUUGUUGGUGAGGUAAUGGCCCACCAAGGCUAUAACAGAUACGGGCUCUGAGAGGAGAAGCCCGGAGAUGGGUACUGAGACACGGACCCAGGCCCUAUGGGGCGCAGCAGGCGAGAAAACUUUGCAAUGUGCGAAAGCACGACAAGGUUAAUCCGAGUGGUUCCUGCUAAAGGAACCUUUUGCCGGUCCUAAAAACACCGGUGAAUAAGGGGUGGGCAAGUUCUGGUGUCAGCCGCCGCGGUAAAACCAGCACCUCAAGUGGUCAGGAGGAUUAUUGGGCCUAAAGCAUCCGUAGCCGGCUGUGUAAGUUUUCGGUUAAAUCCAUGCGCUCAACGUAUGGGCUGCCGGGAAUACUGCACAGCUAGGGAGUGGGAGAGGUAGACGGUACUCGGUAGGGAGGGGUAAAAUCCACUGAUCUAUCGAUGACCACCUGUGGCGAAGGCGGUCUACUAGAACACGUCCGACG